GUCAUAACGAGCUGUAAUGCACAAAUAUUGUAUCUAGAAUAACUUUCUAACAUGGACUUUUUUAAAGUUAUCUCACAUGUUGUCUCAUAAUUUUUUUUUUAAAGUCUGCCAUGUACAUCGUUAUGGAGUCACAGUUUGACUACUCAGUUGUAAGUACUUUUCAACACGCAGUGUCAUCCUCAAGAUUGUAUUUUGUAUUGUGCACUAAAAUGAAAUACAAACAACAAUUUCAGCAUGACAUGCCUGUUUGGCGGCGAUGGUGGUGCCUGUUGCUCCUGGAGAACAAUUCUUUGAACAGGUAGACAGUUUAAGUAAACUAGAUGUCCUAAUUAACUGGAAGACAAUCAAUAUAUUGUACUUAAAGACAUAUUGUCAUUACAGUUGUGGGAAAAUCUUCGCCCACUGGACCAAAGAAUGUCAAGAGCUCAUUGCUGGAAAGCAUACUCCGGUCUUCAGUCUAAAGAGGAAGGCAGAGCAGCAG